GACGAACGCUGGCGGCAUGCCUAACACAUGCAAGUCGAACGAAACCUUCCGGUCUAGGUGCGCAGGGGUGCGUAACGCGUGGGAACCUGCCCUUAGGUUCGGAAUAACUCCCCGAAAGGUGUGCUAAUACCACAUAAUGUCUUCGCACCAAAGAUUUAUUGCCUUUUGAUGGGCGCGCGUUAGAUUAGCUAGUUGGUAGUGUAAAAGCAUGCCAAGGCGACGAUCCAUAGCUGGUCUGAUAGGAUGACCAGCCAGACUGGGACUGAGACACGGACCAGACCGGUACGGGAAGGAGGAGUGGGGAGUAUUGGAGGAUGGGGGAAAGCGUGAUACAGCAACGCCGCGUGAGUGAUGAAGGCGUUAGGGUUGUAAAGUCCUCUUAGACGGGAUGAUAAUGACAGUAAUGGGAGAAGAAGCACCGGCUAACUACGUG
rnacentral:rRNA from 1 species